rnacentral:lncRNA from 10 species
CAUUUUGCAACUGUGACAGUUAAGAUAGAAUCAAGCAAGCAUUAUCAAUAGAUGCUAAAUUUCAACAGAGAAACAAAGAACAAGAUAUGGAUAUUUGGAUGGUCUUCAAGUACCUUCCCAUAUAUUCCUCACUAGCUAUGAGAAGGAAAAACGCUAAUUACACAGUAGAGAAAUUGGAUAGCACCUUGACCAGGUGAUCUAUGUGGGGCAGAUGAGCAUCUCAGGCCUCCAGAUGUGAUAUCUGAAAAGGACAGAGAGGAUCACUCUUUUUAGUAGUUCUGCUGAGAAUAUAUAACAUGUCUAAUUAUGAGACAAAUCAUUAGACAAACCCAAAAUGAUGAACAUUCUAGUUUUAAAAGUUGAUGGGGGGGAGUGUGGACUGUAUUCUUUGAAAAUGUUCAUGUCAUGAAUAAUAAAGAAGGCUGUGGGAAUGUUUCAGGUUAAAGAAGGCUAAGGAGACCUGACAGCUAAAUCCAGCACCUGGCCCCUGUACUCAGUCCAGUGCUGGAGGGAACAAAUUCUACAAAGGGCAUCAUUGGGUCAAGUGAUAAAGUCAGAAUAUGAACGGAUAGAUUAGUUAAAAAGUAUUAGGUGUUAAUGUAAAUGUUACUGAAAUUGGUAAUUGUACUGUGUUUAUGUAAGAGAAUGUCCCUAU